GACGAACGCUGGCGGCGUGCCUAAUACAUGCAAGUCGAACGCAUUUUCUUUCACCGUAGCUUGCUACACCGAAAGAAAAUGAGUGGCGAACGGGUGAGUAACACGUGGGUAACCUGCCCAUCAGCGGGGGAUAACACUUGGAAACAGGUGCUAAUACCGCAUAAUUCCAUUUACCGCAUGGUAAAUGGAUGAAAGGCGCUUUUGCGUCACUGAUGGAUGGACCCGCGGUGCAUUAGCUAGUGGGUGGGGUAACGGCCUACCAAGGCUGCGAUGCAUAGCCGACCUGAGAGGGUGAUCGGCCACACUGGGACUGAGACACGGCCCAGACUCCUACGGGAGGCAGCAGUAGGGAAUCUUCGGCAAUGGACGCAAGUCUGACCGAGCAACGCCGCGUGAGUGAAGAAGGUUUUCGGAUCGUAAAACUCUGUUGUUAGAGAAGAACAAGGGUGAGAGUGGAAAGUUCAUCCCUUGACGGUAUCUAACCAGAAAGCCACGGCUAACUACGUG
rnacentral:rRNA from 1 species